GCCAGUGUGGCACAGUGGUUUGAGUGUCAGAGUAUGAGUCUAGAGACCAGGGUUCAAAUCCUAGCUCAGUCA